rnacentral:ncRNA from 1 species
CCGCCGCAACGGCUUCCUGACGCGACCGGGUGAUUUUUCAACGGAGCA